AAGUCGUAACAAGGUUUCCGUAGGUGAACCUGCGGAAGGAUCAUUACCGAGUGUAGGGUUCCUAGCGAGCCCAACCUCCCACCCGUGUUUACUGUACCUUAGUUGCUUCGGCGGGCCCGCGCCCGCCGGAGACACCACGAACUCUGUCUGAUCUAGUGAAGUCUGAGUUGAUUGUAUCGCAAUCAGUUAAAACUUUCAACAAUGGAUCUCUUGGUUCCG
rnacentral:misc_RNA from 1 species